UGGGGAAUAUUGCACAAUGGGCGCAAGCCUGAUGCAGCCAUGCCGCGUGUGUGAAGAAGGCCUUCGGGUUGUAAAGCACUUUCAGCGAGGAGGAAGGUGGUGAGCUUAAUACGCUCAUCAAUUGACGUUACUCGCAGAAGAAGCACCGGCUAACUCCGUGCCAGCAGCCGCGGUAAUACGGAGGGUGCAAGCGUUAAUCGGAAUUACUGGGCGUAAAGCGCACGCAGGCGGUUUGUUAAGUCAGAUGUGAAAUCCCCGGGCUCAACCUGGGAACUGCAUUUGAAACUGGCAAGCUAGAGUCUCGUAGAGGGGGGUAGAAUUCCAGGUGUAGCGGUGAAAUGCGUAGAGAUCUGGAGGAAUACCGGUGGCGAAGGCGGCCCCCUGGACGAAGACUGACGCUCAGGUGCGAAAGCGUGGGGCAGCAAACAGGAUUAGAUACCCUGGUAGUCCAGCGCUGUAAACGAUGUCGAUUUUGGAGGUUGUGCCCUUGAGGCGUGGCUUCCGGAGCUAACGCGUUAAAUCGACCGCCUGGGGAGUACGGCCGCAAGGUUAAAACUCAAAUGAAUUG
rnacentral:rRNA from 1 species